AGAGAAUCUGAUACAGGUAG
rnacentral:siRNA from 1 species